UACGUAGGUGGCGAGCGUUGUCCGGACUUACUGGGUGUAAAGGGCGCGUCGGCGGGGAUGCAAGUCAGAUGUGAAAUACCGAGGCUUAACUUCGGGGCUGCAACUGCAACUGCAUAUCUUGAGUGUCGGAGAGGGAAGUGGAAUUCCCAGUGUAGCGGUGAAAUGCGUAGAUAUUGGGAGGAACACCAGUGGCGAAGGCGCCUUUCUGGACGACAACUGACGCUGAGGCACGACAGCGUGGCGAGCAAACAGC
rnacentral:rRNA from 1 species